rnacentral:ncRNA from 2 species
CUCUUAUCCCGAGAUGGUGGAGGGACAUGGCCCUAUGAAACCCAGCAACCGUCAUCAAUUAAAGAUGAAAAGGUGCUAACCUGACGCAAGGGAAACCUUGAUCGAUAAGAG